AGUAGGGAAUCUUCGGCAAUGGACGAAAGUCUGACCGAGCAACGCCGCGUGAAUGAAGAAGGCCUUCGGGUUGUAAAAUUCUGUUAUAAGGGAAGAAAGACGAGAGUAGGAAAUGGCUCUUGAGUGACGGUACCUUAUGAGAAAGCCACGGCUAACUACGUGCCAGCAGCCGCGGUAAUACGUAGGUGGCAAGCGUUAUCCGGAAUUAUUGGGCGUAAAGAGCGCGCAGGUGGUUGAUUAAGUCUGAUGUGAAAGCCCACGGCUUAACCGUGGAGGGUCAUUGGAAACUGGUCAACUUGAGUGCAGAAGAGGGAAGUGGAAUUCCAUGUGUAGCGGUGAAAUGCGUAGAGAUAUGGAGGAACACCAGUGGCGAAGGCGGCUUCCUGGUCUGUAACUGACACUGAGGCGCGAAAGCGUGGGGAGCAAA
rnacentral:rRNA from 1 species